CAAAGCACUUUGAAGAGAGAGUUAAAGAGGACGUGAAACCGGUGAGGUGGAAACGGACAGAGCCGGCGUAUCUGGCUUGCAUUCAGCCGUGAACUGUUCAGCAGUGGGUACAUUUUUCCAGACUGGGGCGUGUGGUUGCUCGCUGGUCUGCUUGCGGUGCAUUUGCCGGUGGAGUGCGCCGAGAUGCCCGGCGCAGCGGCACAAGCCAGGUUCAGAGGCCAAAUCUGUUUGGAACCCGUGCCGCGGGGAGUGCUGUUUGUGCUGGGUGCACAGCGUGGUAGUGGGACGGUGGUUUCGGGCCCGAGUGGGUGCCGAGCUGGCAAUCAGCGGCGGUCGCGUGCGACACGUGCCGGCGGUCAGUUCGGUCCUGCUCGAGCUCUCAGCCGUCUGUUCUCGGUGUAAAAGCCGGUCAUCUGUCCGACCCGUCUUGAAACACGGACCAAGGAGUUUAGCGUGUGCGCAAGUCAUUGGGCGUUGAAAACCCAAAGGCGCAAUGAAAGUGAAGGUCUCCCUCGUUGGAGCUGACGUGUGAUCCCGGCCACUGCGGUGCGUCGGGCGCAACAUGGUCCCGUUCUGGCCGCUUGCGGCGGGGCGGAGACAGAGCGUACGCGCUGAGACCCGAAAGAUGGUGAACUAUUCCUGAGCAGGACGAAGCCAGAGGAAACUCUGGUGGAAGUCCGAAGCG
rnacentral:rRNA from 1 species